rnacentral:rRNA from 1 species
CCUACGGGGGGCUGCAGUGGGGGAUAUUGCACAAUGGGGGGAACCCUGAUGCAGCGACGCCGCGUGGGUGAAGAAGCGCCUCGGCGCGUAAAGCCCUGUCAGCAGGGAAGAAAAUGACGGUACCUGAAGAAGAAGCCCCGGCUAACUAUGUGCCAGCAGCCGCGGGAAUACGUAGGGGGCAAGCGUUAUCCGGAUUUACUGGGUGUAAAGGGGGCGCAGACGGCGAUGCAAGCCAGGAGUGAAAGCCCGGGGCCCAACCCCGGGACUGCUCUUGGAACUGCGUGGCUGGAGUGCAGGAGGGGCAGGCGGAAUUCCUGGUGUAGCGGUGAAAUGCGUAGAUAUCAGGAGGAACACCGGUGGCGAAGGCGGCUUGCUGGACUGCAACUGACGUUGAGGCCCGAAAGCGUGGGGAGCAAACAGGAUUAGAUACCCGGGUAGUC